UUGCUACUUCUACAGCCAUUUGCUUUUCUUUUUGCAACCUUCUCUCCAGCUUGCUGGUUUAGCUAAUGAUUAAGGAGUUCAUUAAUCAGUAAAGAUUUCCAAAGUUCUUCAAAGAAUAAACAUACUACUUACUGCAAGGCUGCAUUAUGUAACAUUAGAAGAUCAGUUAAUUCUCUAAGCUUCUUAUAAAACAAAACACAAAAGACACAACACCUUCUAAAUUCAACUGCCGUGACUGCGGACAUUUUGCUAACCUUUUUAGUAACUAACUUUGGUAACUCGUGAUUUUGGUCUUUUGCUUUUUAGUUGAUUCCAUGGACACUUUUCUGCUGGUGAAAAUUUCCAAUGAAGAUUCUAUUUCAUCCAUUAUUUGAGGUGUGAAAAGAAGGACAACUUUUUCAUUAGCCUUCCAUCUGGUCAUGGUAACAUGGACAUUUACAUCUAGCAAUGAUUACCAAGUUCUAUUUUCUGUCUUGUGACUCUUUCACUGAGGGAGACGAAGAGUCAGUUCUGACACAGCUCCGUGGACUUGCCGUUCCUAACAUCUAGAGUGACCUC
rnacentral:lncRNA from 1 species